CCUGUGCUAAGGUAGCACAAUAAAUUACUUUUUAAUUAAAAGAUAGAAUGAAGGGAAAGACGACUUAAUUAUUUUUCCAUAACUUUAUAAUAAAAUUCUCUAAAAUGUAAAAAGACAUUUAUAAAAAAGAAAGACGACAAGACCCUAUAGAACUUAUACUUAUUUAGUUUAGCUGGGGCAGCUAAAAACUUUAACUUCAAAUAAUACAAAACAAUAAAGACCUAAAAUUUUUAAUAAAUAAAUCAAGUUACCUUAGGGAUAACAGCGCAAUUCUAUUCAAAAGCACUAAUAAAAAAUAGAAAUUACGACCUCGAUGUUGAAUUAAUCUAACUCUAUUAAGUAACAAUAAUAAGAGUAAGUCUGUUCGACCUUUAAAAGAUUACAUGAUUUGAGUUCAGACCGGUGAAAGCCAGGUCAGAUUCUAUCUUCUUUAAAUUAAUUACAGUACGAAAGGACCUAAUUAUAAAUAACAU
rnacentral:rRNA from 1 species